GAUUAGAAUUAAAUUUAUUAAAUACAUUUAUUAAAUUAAGUAGAUUAAAUAAAUUAAAUUUAUUAAAAAAAUAGAUUAUAAUGGAAUUUUAAUUCCAUUACAAUCCAAACAGAGCCUCUCUCUGUUUAUUAUUUAGGUUGUCACUAUCAUAAAAUUUCAGGACACCAGAGAUAAAAAGAAGAGAAUGGAGUUCUCCAGAGUGAAUGCAGAGACAUUUCACACACACACACACACACACACACACACACACACACACACACACAAUACAUAUGUAUGUAUUUAUUUGGGAUCAGAAUGACAUAGGAUUCUCAAUGAUGACAUUGAAAGCUGGGACAAUGAAACAAGAGCUUCAAAAUUCUGGGGAAAAUUAUUUUCAGCCUAGAAAUUUAUGCCUUCCAAACAAUCAAGCAUGAGGAUAAGAAAAAAAAGAGUUUUUUAGACUUUCAUAUUUCAAAAUAAUUACCUUUGAUGCAGACUUUUUCUUUGUUCUAGUAAAAAGAAAGAAUGGACUAAAACAGAGGAAGAAAAUCCAGAAAAGGAGGACUCCAAUCCAGAUUAAAGGAAUUUCCAAAAUGGUGGCUGAGACAAAACCUGGGGUUCAAGUCAUGUUACAGAGAUGGUGUUCCAGAUUAGUGCAGAAUAGUGGGCUCAAGAAGAAAUGCCUUCAAGAAAAGAUUGAAACCAACACACUACAAGUUUGACAUUGGAAAAGUUGAAUUGAAGAGUUGUUGGAAGGUUCUGAAGACCUCAAAUGGACUGAGCCACACUACCAGCAUCCAGCAUCCAUGGUUCUCCAGUCUGCAGAUGGCCUAUUAUGGGACUUUUCAGUCUUCAUAAUUAUAUGAGAGAAAGAAAAUGAAAAGGAUUUGUAAACUAUAAAUCUCUAAACAGAUGGGAGGAAAGGAAUUGAUGAAACAAUAAAUUUAUUGAUGAAACAAUAAAAAUAAACAUAAAGAACCAAAGGUAGGUUUGGACAUUCAUUAAUUUACUCUUGUAAUAUUUAUUGAGUAGCUUGUAUGUGGUAGGUACCAUACUCAGGGCGGGAGAUUAGUGAUGAACAAGACAGAUGAGCUCCCACAACUCACCACAUCUUGCUGCCAGACAGGAGAGACAUAAGUUACACAUGUAAGCAAACAGUUAAUAUCCCUAUAAAAAGUGCUAUGGAGAAAAGAAGCAGGACACUAAGAGAGAAAGAAACAAGGAAAACCAACACAGUAAAUUUUUCUGGCUGAGGAAACUAAGCCUGGAGGGUGGGAUGGAGUUAGACCAGCAAAUAAAGGGGUAUGCAGGAAUGUCCAAAGCAAAAACAACUCAAGGAUGACAAGUGUGGCAAGAGCACUUAACAGAAACCUGUGAUAGCAGACAUGUAAGCUAUGAAAGGGGUUUGACUUUGAUUCUAAGUGCAAGGAAAGCCACUGAAGGCUUUUAAGCAGGAGAGUGACGGGAUUUAGAAUUAUGCUUUAGAAAAUUCAUUUUUACUCUUUGAUUGUGAGGGUCAAGAAUGGAAAGAGGAAGCUACUGCAGAGGACCAGGAGAGUGAUGAUGAUGGCUUAGAUUAAGGGACAGGCUUUUCUGUCUAGUUUUCUGUCUAGUAAAACUAGACAGAAACUAGAGCCUUCUUGCUUGUUCCCUGAUAAGAUAAGCAAUGCUAAUAAACUAAGUCUAAAUAGAACGUAUGCCUUUUCUUGCAUUUCAAUGUAUUUUAAUUUCUUUGUUAAUAACAAUUAACCACUUGUACAGAAGAGUCGAGGCAUUGAGGUGUAAGAGAACUAGAAAUAAUUCUCUCAUAAGCAGUAGAAAUAGUAGGAAUUAGGUUCAAGACACAUGUUGGAGGUGGAAUUAAGAGGAUUUGUUGAUAGAAUAAUAAUAAUUGGGAAGGAGAAAAAGGUAAUUCUAAGGUUUCUAGCUUGAGCAACUAGGAGGGGGAUUCUGCUAUUUACAGAAAUGGGGAAGCUGGAACAUGUUUCUAAGGGAAAUAAAAAUAUACCUUUAUGGCAUGUUAAAUUUUGACAUCCAAAUGAAACUAUCAACAACGCAGUUAGCUAGGCAAUCAAAGAAUGAGCUAAAGAAAUAUGAGAGUCAUGACAGUACAGAUUCAUUCUUCCAACUGCCCACUGGCCUAGAUUGGGUGAAAAGCCAUCAACCCAUGUCACUUUAGGCUGCCAAGCUUAGACAUGCCAUGCAUGAUUGGCCGAGUAAGUGGUUUUCUUUUCAGGCCAGGAUCAAGCCUUUUUCAUUUACUUUCAAAUG
rnacentral:lncRNA from 1 species